GAAUUCGCCCUUAGAGUUUGAUCCUGGCUCAGGACGAACGCUGGCGGCGCGCCUAACACAUGCAAGUCGAACGAGCGAGAGAGAGCUUGCUUUCUCAAGCGAGUGGCGAACGGGUGAGUAACGCGUGAGGAACCUGCCUCAGAGGGGGGCAACAGUUGGAAACGACUGCUAAUACCGCAUAAGCCCACGACCCGGCAUCGGGUAGAGGGAAAAGGAGCAAUCCGCUUUGAGAUGGCCUCGCGUCCGAUUAGCUAGUUGGUGAGGUAAUGGCCCACCAAGGCGACGAUCGGUAGCCGGACUGAGAGGUUGAACGGCCACAUUGGGACUGAGACACGGCCCAGACUCCUACGGGAGGCAGCAGUGGGGAAUAUUGCACAAUGGGGGAAACCCUGAUGCAGCGACGCCGCGUGGAGGAAGAAGGUCUUCGGAUUGUAAACUCCUGUUGUUGAGGAAGAUAAUGACGGUACUCAACAAGGAAGUGACGGCUAACUACGUGCCAGCAGCCGCGGUAAAACGUAGGUCACAAGCGUUGUCCGGAAUUACUGGGUGUAAAGGGAGCGCAGGCGGGAAGACAAGUUGGAAGUGAAAUCCAUGGGCUCAACCCAUGAACUGCUUUCAAAACUGUUUUUCUUGAGUAGUGCAGAGGUAGGCGGAAUUCCCGGUGUAGCGGUGGAAUGCGUAGAUAUCGGGAGGAACACCAGUGGCGAAGGCGGCCUACUGGGCACCAACUGACGCUGAGGCUCGAAAGUGUGGGUAGCAAACAGGAUUAGAUACCCUGGUAGUCCACACUGUAAACGAUGAAUUACUAGGUGUUGGAGGAUUGACCCCUUCAGUGCCGCAGUUAACACAAUAAGUAAUCCACCUGGGGAGUACGACCGCAAGGUUGAAACUCAAAGGAAUUGACGGGGGCCCGCACAAGCAGUGGAGUAUGUGGUUUAAUUCGACGCAACGCGAAGAACCUUACCAAGUCUUGACAUCCUGCGACGGACAUAGAAAUAUGUUUUUCCUUCGGGACGCAGAGACAGGUGGUGCAUGGUUGUCGUCAGCUCGUGUCGUGAGAUGUUGGGUUAAGUCCCGCAACGAGCGCAACCCUUAUGGUCAGUUACUACGCAAGAGGACUCUGGCCAGACUGCCGUUGACAAAACGGAGGAAGGUGGGGAUGACGUCAAAUCAUCAUGCCCUUUAUGACUUGGGCUACACACGUACUACAAUGGCGUUAAACAAAGAGAAGCAAGACCGCGAGGUGGAGCAAAACUCAGAAGCAACGUCCCAGUUCGGACUGCAGGCUGCAACUCGCCUGCACGAAGUCGGAAUUGCUAGUAAUCGCAGAUCAGCAUGCUGCGGUGAAUACGUUCCCGGGCCUUGUACACACCGCCCGUCA
rnacentral:rRNA from 1 species